rnacentral:rRNA from 1 species
UGAUGCGAUCAUACCAGCACUAAAGCACCGGAUCCCAUCAGAACUCCGAAGUUAUGCGUGCUUGGGCGAGAGUAGUACUAGGAUGGGUGACCUCCUGGGAAGUCCUCGUGUUGCAUUCC